UACGAAGGGGGCUAGCGUUGCUCGGAAUCACUGGGCGUAAAGGGUGCGUAGGCGGGUCUUUAAGUCAGGGGUGAAAUCCUGGAGCUCAACCCCAGAACUGCCUUUGAUACUGAAGAUCUUGAGUUCGGGAGAGGUGAGUGGAACUGCGAGUGUAGAGGUGAAAUUCGUAGAUAUUCGCAAGAACACCAGUGGCGAAGGCGGCUCACUGGGCCGAUACUGACGCUGAGGCACGAAAGCGUGGGGAGCAAACAGG
rnacentral:rRNA from 1 species